CCACAGUAUGGCUUCUAAUCAGUCAGGCUCGGGCUAUACUCCAGGACUCAGUAGGUCAUGGGUAUAACCCGAGCCUGACUGUGCACCUACCCAG
rnacentral:pre_miRNA from 1 species